UACCACUUUAAUUUGAUGGAAAACGUAAUCUUUAAACAUGUUUAAAUAUGGAAUUUUAAAAGAGCUAUAAAGUUUAAUCCAGUUUAAAAUAUUAAAUAACAUAUGCAAAUAUAAUUUAGACAAUUUUAUCAAAUUAGGUUUAUUAGGUGCCAGCAACCGCGGUCAUACCUAAUAAUUGAGUUUACAACGAUAUUAAAUAAUAUUGGUUCACGUUUUAACAUAUGAUAAUAUAUAGUGAAAUACUAUUUCAUAUACAUUACUUUUAAAACUAAUUAAAAAAAAAUCCAUAACUAAAAACUAGGAUUAGAGACCCUACUAUUGUGGUUUAUUAAUUAUUUACUAAGAAGUAAUACAUAAAUUUUAAACUUAAAAGUUAUGGCGGCUAAUCAAAACCAUUAGGGGAACUUACCAUAUAAUUGAUAACCACCAAGCAUAAUCCUACUUAUUAUAAAUUAAUUUGUAUACCGUUGUCUUCCUGAAGCCCUCGAGGGGGUUCAAGAAAAUAAUAUUUAUUAUUAGACAAAUCAAGGUGCAGUCCACUUAAUAAGAAAUAAGGUGAGUUACAGUAAACUAUUUUUUCGGAAUAUAUAAUGAAAUAACUUAUGAAGUUGGACUUAAAAGUACUAUUUAAAUUAAUAAAUAUGGUAGAAAUAUGUAUUGCUUAGUGUA
rnacentral:rRNA from 1 species